UUUUUUCAUUGGCACAUUUUGUGUAGCGCUUUGUGACUAUGACAAAGUAGGUGCUCAGAUAAAUCAGUGUUUGUCCUCACAUUUUCAGUCCAUGCGAGAAGUUCUAAAAUGUUCUCAGAGGCUUGAGAUACUUCAUCCGGACGUGAAACAUGAGCAACAAAAAUGUUAACUGACUGAAUUUUUGACAGGGUCAAAGAACAGUCUGGAAAAUCUGCUGCUCACUGCACAACAUAAGGCCGCAUUUAAUAUGCUGCAGAAAAAGAUAUUCGUUCCAUCUGUGUGUUAGAGCGUUCUGUCCUCCCAUCAAAGUGCCAACCGCCUGUACAUCUCCUUCCAGCCUGCACAACCGACAUGAGCAAGAGAAAGAUGCCACCAAACGGAAGCGGCGGCCCAACACAGGAAGUGCUGUUUCUCCUGUGGAGUGUUUGGGGCCACCAACGCUACUGGGAAACUGUAUAGUGGACACUAUGGCUGACUUACGUGCUGGGCCACAUAAAGAGUCCUCGUUGGCACGGGCUGGUGGCCAUGAGUCUGCUGUGUGCAGUUUACUUUCAGAGCCCAGAUAUUUCAGCACUGAAGUAAAAAACUUUUCAAACAUGCUCUCUUUUCUCUAGUAUUUGGUUCUGCCAGUGUGUGAAGUUAUGCAUCUUUAAUGAUGCCUGUGGGGAAACCACUGUUGCAGCAGCAAGUAGUGGGAAGAAAAAAGAGUGUGCAAACUAGAACAGAGCAUGAGAUAAGACAAAAGCCAGCGCAUUUUCAGCAGCCGGGCAUAUUUAGCUGAAAACCUGUAUGACCACAGAAAGACAGGAUGAUUAUUAUAGCUGUAAAAAUAUAAAAUUAAAUUACUAGCUGUGGCAGGAGUACAAGCGUGUAAACACAGAGGUAGAGGGAAAGGGAACAUGCAGCGGAAGCGUGACACCAGACUUACAGUGUGAUUAUUUAGGUUUUAAAUCAGCAUUUAAUAUGCAGACCUGCCUCAGGAUAAUUGGGUAUGUUCAGCAUCUCAAUUAACGAUUCAACGCUCACAACACAUCAUCAAAAAAAUCACAGCCUGACGCACAGAUUGAUAGACAUAUUAAAGAUAGGCGUCACCAGGCCAACCAGGGCCUGAUGGUUCAUGUGUUUAUUGGCCAUUUCCUUGAGUCUGCUGGACGAGAGUAGUUCGCUACUAUUGAUGCCUUUAUUGACCAGCCUCAGUUAUUGUGUUUGGUGAUUGAACCUGGAAUUGUUUGGUGUUUUUCCUGACAGUUUUUAGGGACAUUGAACUGUUGUUGAACUGCUUUUGCACAUCAAGAUGUAUUAGGAUGAACAAAACAACAUGUAAAAAUACAAAGGUCGUCAAAGAAAUUACUGACUCCAUAAGACAUAUGUUAACACAUACAUCAUUUAGACCCAUUUAUCAUUUCUUAUGUCACAUUACUAACGUGAAAUAUUGUCCAUGGACCAUUUUUUCACCAAACUGUAAAGCUCUACUUCUACUUCUCAACUUUUUAUUGUAAACUUUUUUUAAUGUUUGCUGUUUAUAUUCCGCCAGCUUCAUGCACAAGAACAUUAUCAUAAUAGGUGUACAAUGAUCCAGGCAGUGACUUUGUUGCCAACAUUUCCCAGGAUUAG
rnacentral:lncRNA from 1 species